UGCGCGCCUUGCUCUCCCGGUCUGGCGGCCCCGCCCCCUUCCUUUCCUCUCUCGGCCGGCGGGGGGUAUGGGUGCUGCGCACGGGGCCUCCCAGCUAUGCGGCAUGGUAGCGCCCGGCCUGGGCCCGGGGCUGCCGCCCCGUUGGGGGAGAAACUCGGGAAGAUAGUGAAAAUCUGAAAAGGGCAAGAAAAGCAAGUAUGCAAAAGCAGAAACUUGCUUCUUCCUCUGAGAGGGUAUCAUAACUGGUCUGCAGCUUGUGCAUCCAUAAGUGGAACAAUGUAAACCAAGAGUCUCAGGGGAGCAAAGAGCUUUCUGCAAAAUUAAGACUUGACAGUUACAGAUAAAAGCCUUCUCAGUUGGACUGAUUAUUGCAGGAGUGAGGCUAGUGGGGGCAGCAGUAGUUGCCUGAAGAGAAGAGAGGAACUGUUGCUGUUGCUUUAAAGCAGGGGUCGGCAACCUUUCAGAAGUGGUGUGCAGAGUCUUCAUUUAUUCACUUUAAGGUUUUGCGUGCCAGUAAUACAUUUUAACUUUUUUUAGAAGGUC